rnacentral:rRNA from 1 species
GCGGCCGUACCAUGCUGAAUAUACCGGUUCUCGUUAGAUCACCGAAGUUAAGCAUCAUUGGGCGCGGUCAGUACUUGGGUGGGUGACCACCUGGGAACACUGCGUGCCGUU